UACGAAGGGGGCUAGCGUUGUUCGGAAUUACUGGGCGUAAAGCGCACGUAGGCGGAUUUGUAAGUCAGGGGUGAAAGCCCAGGGCUCAACCCUGGAAUUGCCUUUGAUACUGAUUGUCUUGAGUAUGGGAGAGGUGAGUGGAACUCCGAGUGUAGAGGUGAAAUUCGUAGAUAUUCGGAAGAACACCAGUGGCGAAGGCGACUCACUGGCCCAUUACUGACGCUGAGGCUCGAAAGCGUGGGGAGCAAACAGG
rnacentral:rRNA from 1 species